ACGAGUUUUGAAGUGGGUUUGAUGCUGGCCUUCCCGGGCAUGUGCUCGCCCUACUCUUCAUCCACUCACACCUGUGCACCUAUAAAUGCUAAGAGAUUCAUCCCCUAGACUUCGUCAGGGGUGCGGUUGAAGGAGACUUUGACCGUUGGGUUGAAUCUUUUGCGUUUAACUUUUCUAUAAACUCUUGAAUGUUAUAGAAUGUUUAUGGCCUACGGGCUUGUAUAAAUUAAAAUA
rnacentral:misc_RNA from 1 species